UACGUAGGUGGCGAGCGUUGUCCGGAUUUACUGGGCGUAAAGAGCGCGCAGGCGGUCGUUCAAGUCGCGUGUGAAAGCCCCCGGCUCAACUGGGGAGGGUCACGCGAUACUGAUCGACUCGAAGGCAGGAGAGGGAAGUGGAAUUCCCGGUGUAGUGGUGAAAUGCGUAGAUAUCGGGAGGAACACCAGUGGCGAAGGCGACUCUCUGGGACGGUACUGACGCUGAGACGCGAAAGCGUGGGGAGCAAACAGG
rnacentral:rRNA from 1 species